GGAAACUGGAUGUUCUCCUAAAACAGCCACCUAGCCAAGCUGAACCAACAGAGAUGUAUUGAUCACCGGGUCAAUGGAACUAGGUGGGUGCUGGGGGGAAAGUCAGCAGGUAAGUCAGGUGAGGACUGCCUCCCUUCCACUCCCCACCCAGAGACUGAAGACAGACAGACAGACAGAGGCGUUCAUUCAGAAAGAAGUAGGAGGGCUUCAGGGAUUCAGCGGAGGAGACUGAAAGCCUGAGAGACGAUGCCUCUGAGAAGGUUACAGGAACCUGACAAGACUGACUAGCCAUCUCUAGCAUUCAGAUAGGUGGAACUUCAUUGUGCUGAAGUUAUGUUUGAGCACCCUCUGCUGGACAAAUCAGGAGAAGGCAGCAGCUGGCAUCAAUGGUGUGGUGAGGAGAGAAUCAAGUUUCCUUCUCCAGUUCAAACAGACGAAAGUGAAGCGACAUAGGCUCAAGGACAGGGUCACUGGGCUAGCGCCACACCAUGGAGCCAAACCCCGAGCCUUCUAAAUUGUGAGCUGGGCAUGGUGGUUCACCCCAGGAAUCGCAGCACUGAGGGAUGAAGGCGAGAGAGUCACUGUGGGUGUGACAUCAGUCUGGCCUGAAGUCUGAGACUGUUUUUUUAAAAAGAAAACAUUUUUUUAUGUCAUAUAUUUAAUUAUAUAAAGAUUCUGUUGUUUUGUUGUUGUUGUUGUUAAAAUUCAGCCAGGAAAUUUCCAUCUGUCUGGUGUUAAUUGGUUGUUUUUCAGCACUAAUUGGGAAAUGAUAUAUUUUUAUUGUUUUAUAAAUAGAGUAAAACCCCUCAGAAACUGCUGGGGAAAUUUAAACAAGGAAAGCAAUUCUAUGUCCUUGCUUGACACCAGUUUGUCCCAGAGGUGACACAACUGUGUAGUUUUUGAAAACACUGGGCAUUUAUAUAUAUAUGAGACAAAACCCCACUGUAUAGCCCUGGCUAACUCGAAACUCACUAUGUAAAUCAGGCUGGGCUUUGACACACAGAGCUCUGCCUUUGCCUACUCAGUGUUGGGAUUUAACACCCACACCACCAUAGCCAGCCUUCUCUCCAAGGGGCAAAUUUCUUUCUGAAGCAACUUCCUCAUUUAUUAACAGUAUUGCUUCCAGACCCCGUGUGUGUGUGUGUGUGUGUGUGUGUGUGUGUGUGUGUGUGUACAGAUAUGUGUUUGCAAGUAUUUAGACACAAGUUGAUGCAGACUACACCAGUUUCAUGAAAUUGUUCCCAUGUCAGUGGCUAGUCUGAGCCUUUUGUACUUGUAAACAGCUGGCUGUAAACUGGGGAUUCCCAUACUCUCCUCUUCAGCCCCAUAAUUAUCAUGGUGAUUUGCAACCUGUAGGUAAUGACCCGUUUGGCUCAUAUAUCAGAUAUUCUGCAUGUCAGAUAUUUAUAUUUUGAUUCAUAACAAUAGUAAAAUUAUAGUUAUGAAGUAGUAAUGUAAAUAGUUACACUGUGGGGGUCACCACAACACGAGGAACUGUGUUAAAUGGCUUCAGCAAUAGGAAGGUUGAGAGCCACUGAUUUAUUAGGUCAUUUCAUGGAUCGUGGGGAUGCUUUCUACUUUCAUCUAUUGUUUAUUACAAAAGAUGUAGACAGACAGAUAGAUAGACAGACUCACAGAUAAAUAGAAAAAUAGAUGACAGAAAGAUAGAAAGUUAGGUAAAAAGAUAAAAAGAUAGGUAGAUGCUAGAAAGAUAGAUAGACUCAAAGACAAAUAGAAAGAUAGAUAAUAGAGAAAGGUGGAAAGAAAAAUAGAUAGAUGAUGGAAAGAUAGGUAGAUAGACUGACAGAAUGA
rnacentral:lncRNA from 1 species